ACUGCGAUUCCCACACACUUGGAUCCGGUUGCCUGGACUAGAUCCGAUGCUUCUGGGUAAGACUGAGUGCUCUGUAACUAAUGGGCCUGUGGUGAAAAUGAUGCAAGGGUUGGAAACAUCCUAAACCAUGUGAUAACCUGUUUUUUUCCCUUUAUAUCCUGCACAAGUUCUGAUACAAUACAUUCAGAAGGGAACUCACUGAAGAUUUGCUGAAUGAUGAAGAGAGAGAUAGAAGGAAGAAGGAAGGAAGGGUUUAUUUGGUCCAGAUUCUUCAGCAUUUUGUUUUCCCAGACUUCCUUCUUUUCCCCUCUUCUGGACCCACCUUUUUGCCAUUUCACCGUUGACGCGCAGCUUCAGCUUAGAGGGUAAAGACAGACGGGCAUGAUCGUGAGUGGCCAGCAUACUGGCCGGUUCUCUCUGUUAGCAGACUUUUGCAAAGGGUUUGGAUGGAAUGGGUGGCUCUUCAGGUGGAAAACAAGUCGUGGGGGUCAGGUUCUGGGUGCCUGAAACUGCCCUUCCUUCACUCCACUGUGCCAUGACUGGCUCCCACCCGAAGCUUCAGCUGAGCUGGCUUGUCAGGGCUUGCUAGGAACUGCUGAGCUGCAUCUGUUCUCACUUGGCAUGGCUCCUCAGCCCCUCCACAUCUCAAGAAUGUGGCCUUGGGCCCCCUCCUGCUCUGACCGUUUUGCUUGCCUGGGUUUUUUCACUGUCUGCCGUGCCCAGAUCCCAGCUGUUCAUUUGUACCUGACCUCUGACUACUGCUAGAACCCCUCCAUUCUUACAUCUCAUGUAGUUCCAGGUCCCCAGCCAGAUUCUGGAUGUUACCCAAGCCCCCUCCCCAUUCUCCAGCUUCAUUCUAGCCCACACUUUAUGUUUUGCCUUAAGCUUUUCCGAUACUAGCUCCCAUUGCCAUCUCUAGUAUUAAUUCUGAUAGUGGGACUGUUAGCUCCUCUUCUUUCAAUAAUAAAAGGCUAGCUGUCACUAGCUGUGACUCUGUAAUACCUAACGCCAGAGGAAGCUACUAUAUUCUAUCGUUAGUUUCCUUGUCUUUCUCAGUGACUAAAGCUAAGCCUCUUGAAGGCAGAGACAGCCAUAGGAACCUUCACUUCUCAAUGAAGUGUUGAUGAAUGUUACAGAAAAAGGAACUCUCAAGAAUGGCUACAUUUCACAUCUCAUCUCUCAAGUUUUACUCUGAAGUUACUAAAGCCUUCAGUGACCAGAAUCGAAUGAAGGUGAAUCACCAAGUUUAUAAAUGAAUGAAUUCCUAAUAAAUUAAAAAUAUAAGGGACAGCAUAUGGGUAAUAAUGGGAAGGAGUGUGCAGUUUGAAGUCACUCAGACCUGGGUCUGAAUUCUGGCUGUCACAGCUAAGCCUUCAGCAAACCAGUUAACAGCUCCGAGCUUCGAAGUUUUAUUAUACAAAGGGGGACAACCAGGUUCCUAAGAGGACGGUUCUCCACCUUCGUUUCCCACUUUGUAAAAUGGUGAUGAAGCUACCACCUUACCUCACGGACUGUCAAGAAAUUAAAAUAAGAUAAAGUGUGAGAAAAAAUAUUUUGUAAACCUUAAAGCACAAUAUAGGUAUUAAUGAUUACUAUU
rnacentral:lncRNA from 1 species